UAUUAUUAUUAUAUACACAUACAUAAUUUACAAAAAAAAAUGGGGGUCCUUAUCCACAAUUUCACAAGAAAAUAAAUACACACACCAUCGAGAAUUUUUGGGGGGCUUCUUCUUCUUCAUUUGGUUUUCCUCUCACAGAUCACAAAAAUACAGGGGAUGGCCAUUUUUUGAACUCUGUUUUCAUUUCCUUUUCUUCUUCACAUAAUCACUAAAUCCCACACAAUCGGAGAGAGAUAUAGUAAGACGAGAGAGAGCAAAAGAGGGAGUCGGGGAAAGGGAACUGCUCCGGCGAGUGUCGCCUGAGAGCAGUAGGAGUCUAGUCCUUUUUUUUAUGGUUUUCAUAGUUGUCCGAGCUCGCCGGAGCUCCAGCGAUGCAAAACUACGACCCCCAGUCCCACUCUGAUUCGAAUCUAAACAAGCAAUCGGAGCGACGUAACUCGAGCGGUCUCAUUCUAUUCUGAUCGAAUCCGGCUGGAGGGUGUCCCAACCGGUUAAAGAACACCGAUCGUCGUCACCUACUCGAUGUGAGUUUAUGUUUUGUUGAAAUUGAUUGAGCUUGGGGUCUAGUUUACACUCAGUCUUAGGCAUAGGAUUUCUGCUUUGGGGUUUUCUGUUGUGGGUUCAUAGCGCUGAUCAUCUCAAUCGUUCCGUUGAGUCCGUAGCGAGUUUCGAUUUGUGAAAUGGAGGUGGAUUCGAGUUCGGUUUGAGGUUUUCUGUCGAGGUUCUCCAUUUGGGUAUUUUGGUCUUCUUUAUUACCAACGACGAUAACAAGUUCUAUUGAGCCUUGCUCGAAAGCGGGUCUGAGUAAAUUGGAGUUCGAAAUCGAAGUUGUUGAUUUGGGUUCGUGAUUGAGGUUCAACGUGGAGGUUCCAUUUGGACGCGGUUCUAUUAAAAAGAUCAAUUAAUUGAAAUAAAACGUCAGAUUGAGGUCCAAUUCUACUCUCUUUCUCUUUUUAUUUAAUUGUUUAUUAUAUUUGGUGGAAAUAUUGUGUGUUGGUUGAUUAUUGUUGAUGACGAAUAGUUGUUGGUUUCGAUUCUUUGUUUGGUUAUAGAUUAUGUAAUGAAAUGAUAUCUCGUUAAGAAUAAAAAAAAAAAAGAAAUUGGGAGGUGGAAUUGAAACUUGCUAAAAAGGUAAAAUUUGGUUGGUUUGAUUCAUGAAUUAUUGUUUGACUUGAAAUGAACGUUAAUCAAACUUGUUAGUAUCAUGAUAAGUCGAGUGAGGUAGGCAAACGUAGGUUGGGUAGGCAAAGUUUAGAAUUUGUGGAUUUGUUGAAUGUUUGAAAUUUUGUUGAAUGGUUUAGUUUUAUCACAUUAAAAAGAUGUAUCCAUUUUAUCGAGGAAUGCCUCAAAGUCACUUGUAUUUACUCACCGGGGAAUGCCCCGAAGAAUUUUGUAUGUGAAGGAUGUUCAUGAUAAAGGCCCGAGGCAUCGGGUAAAGCAUAGUUUAGGUCUAGCGUAGGUUAUUUUUGUAUUUUUAUUUCGGUUUGUAAUAAAUUGGACUGGACGCUAAAUUUUGGAUUGUUUUGUUUUAAUUGCUUGCUUUAUGUGGUUUAUGUAUUUUAUAAUGUCAAAUUAUCCAAUACGCUCCAUCAAGCGACUGUGGUCAAACCACGGGAUCGAGGGGUGCCUAACACCUUCUCCUCGAUCAAUAGAAUUCCUUAGCCGGAAUAUCUAUUUGCGGAUCAAUUUUAGAGUCAAAAAUUGUUUUUGAAAAAGAUUUUUCAAUGGUGACUUGGCACACCAGAUUAUGCCAAGUGGUGACUCUGAGUUUUUAAAUGUAAAAAUAAUCCUUUUGCAGAACAAAUCUUCAUUUUGUCACUUUAAUAAUGAAAAUCCUUUCAAACCUAAAAUACAUAUCUUUUCGGAGUUGAAAAAGGGGUGUGACAUUGGCCACAUUGCUACUAACAAUCUUUUCAUAAGUAACAAUUACGUCCUUCUAAAUCUCAUAAUUAGAACACCAUUAGCAUGUUAUCAACUUAUUAAAUCACACGAUCUUUCAAAAUCAACACUAAUUUGUACACACUUGCUAAGGGACUUAAUUUUUUUCAACUAGUCAUGACCUGCAGGGGACAAUCUAAGUGCAUGUACCAUAUCGGUGCGGUACUCGAUCCUCCAUAAAUAAAUAUUAUCAAUAUUCAUAUUCAUACCGGCGCAGUACCCGAUCCUACAUAAAUAAGUAAUAUCAAUAUUUAUAUUCGUACCGGCGUGGUACCCGAUCCUCCAUAAUAAGUAAUAUCAAUAUUCAUAUUCGUAUCGACGUGGUACCCAAUCCUCCAUAAAUAGGUAAUAUUAAUAUUCAUAUUCAUACCAGCGUGGUACCCGAUCUUUCAUAGAUAAGUUAUAUAAAAAUUUAUAUUUGUACCGGCGUGGUACCCGGUCCUCCAUAAGUAAGUAAUAUUGAUAUUUAUAUCUGUACCGGCGUGGUACUCGAUCCUCCAUAACCAUAUUAUAUAUAUUUUAUCAUAUUCGUACUAUCUCUCAGGACACAUUACAGCGUACUAAAUUUAUACGUGCACUUAAAAUCGUAAGGCAAUUCGAUCAAGUUCUUUCAUUUUAUCAAUAUUUUGAUCCUCUCACGGGCAUUAUUUCAAUAAUUCAUCAUGAUUAUCAAUAAGCCAUUCAUAGCAUUACUUUAAGGAGUUAUCGUUAACAAAUAAGUCACUCAUAGGCACAAUUCAAUAAACCAUCAUUAUUACCAAUUUAGCCUCUCAUGGGCAUCCAAUAGAUAUAGUAUUUUUAUCAAUACCAAAACAAGAAUAUCAUAAAAUAAAUACAAUUUAAUGCUUAAUUAUACAAGUCGCUAUUGGAGCCUUAAUUACUCAUUAAUUAUCAAAAAAAUCAUUACCUUCUUAAAUACCGCAACUUGGGUUCUAACAUCACCACCUAUGACUAGCAUAUUCACGCGUAUCAUUACAUCUUUUCACAUAAUACAAUCAUUACACUAAUUCAAGUCAUCUAUCCCUUAGAUAUUAAUUUAGGGGUGUGCAUCGAUCGGUUUGGUUCGAUUUUAUAUAUUAUCGGUUCGGUUUAUUUAUUUUUAAUUUUUAAAUAUGUUAAACUAAUAACCAAAUCAAUAAG
rnacentral:lncRNA from 1 species